rnacentral:lncRNA from 1 species
AGCAGGGCUGACCCCAGGGCCUCAAACCCGGAGGCCCGCGAGCUGCGCGGGCCGUCAGCACCCCUAGCCCCGGCGCGGCGGCGUGCGUUCCCGCCUUUGUCCAGCUCUGGGUUUUCAAACCUUGCCCCGCUGAACCAUUACUCCCUGUAGGGGAGUCUCGCUUGCUUCUCUUCAGAUGCAAAACGAAAUGGACCUUCACACAGCUGGGGCAUCCUCCAAAACAACUUUAUCAAGUUCCUGACUCUGAAAGCCAGCUUAUUGCCGACUACUGAGAACGAACCCUGCGGUCUAGGAAAUUUCCGUGCUUCUCACAUUUGAGUUAUGCGUCUUUGCUUUUUUUCACGUUUGUUGCAGAGGCUAGAACUUAAUAAGGGAUCGCAAAGAGAAGAGAACAGACUAAGACAGAAAAUUGGGACCAAGAAGUGGAGUUAUUUCUGUUACAAAUACUUGAAAUUGUGCAAGCAGCUUUGGAAUUCGGUAAUGAGUAGAGGCUACAAGAAUUUGGAGGAGCAAGCAAGAAAAGGUACAUAUUGCCAUGAACAGACCAUGAAGGACAAUUCUGAUGAAGGCUUAGAAAAAGAUCCCAGAAUUAGGAAAGUCUAAAUCUUCCUAAAAAUGUUGAGAAAAAUAUAGACAGUAACAGUCAUUCUGACAAGUUCCAGACAAAAAUGGGGAACAAGGUAUUGGAAACUGGAAUAAAGACCAUUCUUGUUAUAAGAUAGCAAAGACCUUGGCUGAAUUAUGCCUAUAUCCUAAGACUUUAUGGAAUGCAGAACUUAAAAGUGAUGAACUUGGAUAUAUGGUGGAAGAAAUAUCAAAGCAGUGAGCCAUUCAGACUUCUGUCUGGCUACUUUUAACUACAUGCAGUGAGAUAUGAGAGCAAAGGUAUUAACUAAUUUAAAGGGAAGCAGAGUGAAAAGAUUUGGAAAAUUUGCAUCUUGGCCAGAUAAAAACUGAAAAGCCUGUUCAGGAGAGAACACUAAGGGUGUGGAUGGUGACCAUUUGUUAAAGAGGUUAAUAUGAAUAAAGGGAGCCAGGUGCUACUCAUCAAGACAAUGGGAAAAGAUCCUGCAAGCAUUUCAGAGAUCUUCCAGGCUAACCCUGCCAACACAGAUCCAAUGCUGUAGGAGGGCAGAAUGGUUUUGAGCAAUGGGCCCUGAGUGCCCUCCAUGGGCUUGCCACCCAGAGCCACCUCACGUCUCUGCUCCACCCAUUUCAUUACAGUGCUCCUCAGACACCCUAGGUGUGACUUGACCUGUCACUCCAGAAGAUUCAAGUGGCAAAUCUUAGUGGCAUCCACAUGAUGUUAAGUCUGCAGGUGUCCAGAAUGCAAGAGCUGUAGGGGCAUGAUUUUCUCCAUCUAGAUUUCAAAGGAUGUUGCAUACGGCCUUUGGAGACCCAGACAGAGACUUGUCACAGGGCAGAUCUGCCAAAGAGAGCCCCCACCAGGGCAAUGCCUAAUGAAGCUGUGGAAGUGGGACUGCCACCAAGACCCCAGAACUACAGAGCCAACAGCAUACAUCAUCAACCCAAGAGAGCUGAGUCAUGGGCUGAGCCCAGCAAAGCUGUGGGGCUGUGGCUAACCAAGGCCAUGGUGGCCCAAUCCCUACAUCAGUGUGCUCAGGAUGUGGGAUAUAGAGUCAAAGGAGAUUGUUCUCUGGCUUUAUGACAUAAUGCUCUCUGUUGGGUUUUGGGCUUACUUGGGACCUCUUAUUUCUUCUUGCCUAUUUAUCCCUUUUGGAAUGAGAAUUUCUGUCUAAUGCCUGUCUCACCAUUGUAUUUUGGAAAUAGAUUUUACAGGCCCACAUCUGGAAGGAAUUUGCCUCAAGGUGAAUCAUGCUGUAAGUCUCAUCCAUAUCUGAUUUAGAUGAGACUUUGGACUUUAGAUUUUUGAGUUACUGCUGGAAUUAGUUAAGGCUUUGGGGGCCACUGGGAUGGAAUGAAUGUAUUUUGCACUGUGAAAAGUAUAUAUAUUUGGGGGGCCAUGGGUGGAAUGCUAUGGUUUGAAUAUUUCAUGUGUUGGAAAGUUAAUUUUCAACGCAACAGUGUUGGCAGGUGGGGCCUAAUAAGAGGUUAAUUGGGCCAUGAGGGCAGACCCCUCAUGAAUGGAUUAAUGUCAUUAUCCUAGUAAUGGGAUACUUUUUCUGAGGGUAAAUUAUUAUAAAAGUGAGUUUGGCCAAUUUGC